UAGGGAAUCUUCGGCAAUGGGGGCAACCCUGACCGAGCAACGCCGCGUGAGUGAAGAAGGUUUUCGGAUCGUAAAGCUCUGUUGUAAGUCAAGAACGGGUGUGAGAGUGGAAAGUUCACACUGUGACGGUAGCUUACCAGAAAGGGACGGCUAACUACGUGCCAGCAGCCGCGGUAAUACGUAGGUCCCGAGCGUUGUCCGGAUUUAUUGGGCGUAAAGCGAGCGCAGGCGGUUUGAUAAGUCUGAAGUUAAAGGCUGUGGCUCAACCAUAGUUCGCUUUGGAAACUGUCAAACUUGAGUGCAGAAGGGGAGAGUGGAAUUCCAUGUGUAGCGGUGAAAUGCGUAGAUAUAUGGAGGAACACCGGUGGCGAAAGCGGCUCUCUGGUCUGUAACUGACGCUGAGGCUCGAAAGCGUGGGGAGCGAACAGGAUUAGAUACCCUGGUAGUCCACGCCGUAAACGAUGAGUGCUAGGUGUUGGAUCCUUUCCGGGAUUCAGUGCCGCAGCUAACGCAUUAAGCACUCCGCCUGGGGGAGUACGACCGCAAGGUUGAAACU
rnacentral:rRNA from 1 species